AUUGGCAGUGGCUCUGUGGCUUUCUGGGGUGGAGCUCUCAGAGCAGCUGGCAGCCCCUCUGCCAUUGCUGCUGCAGCCAUGCUGCCCUUGCUGCCCUCAGGCUAGGGAAGGAACAAAGAGCCUGAUUUAUUUGGUGGAACCUCCAGCAUGCCACAGCUGCACUACAGAGAGGAGCCCAGUCUCUCUUCCCUGUGAGCCUCCAACCGUUACUCUUCACCAGGUUUUCUGAGAUUCUGCCACCUGUGUGCCCUUCCCACAUGAAGUCUUUCUGUGCCUCCCUGGAGCCCACUCUCACCUGAAGAUGAAGCAAACACAGAGGAAAACCAGGGUUGUGAUGCUAGCUCCCCAGACUGCUCCCAGGACACCACCAGCCCUGCCUUCUGGUUUCCCUAUAAUUUGAAUUUUAAGUGAACUCCAGUUCUAAUUCCAGGACAUCCUCCCAACAGCCAUUCCUCUCCACCUUCCACUAAUGUGACCACCCCCAUCCAGGACUCAGUCACUCACCAUUUCACUGCCCUGUGAACCCGGAACCAGCCUCUUCUCUCUCCAUGACUCCCCCUUCCCCCAACUGCAAGACUGAGGACGUUGUGCCCCCAGCCACUCUUGUCUGGGCCUUGGAAACAUCUUCUCCAAGCUUCAUUUCUCUGGAGCAGUUAGGGGUUGAAUUAUGUCUCCCCACAAUUCCUAUUUUGAAGUCCUAACCCCCAGCACCUCAGAGCAUGACCUGAUUUGGAGAAGGGUCAUAGCUGAUGUAAUUAGUUAUAAUGAGGUGUUCCUGGAUCAGGGUGAGCCCUAAUCCAAUAUGACUGUUGUCCUUAUAAAAAGGGGAAAAUGUGGGUCGGGUGCAGUGGUUCACACCUGUAAUCCCAUCAUUUUGGGAGGCCAAGGCUAGCAGAUCACCAGGUCAGGAGAUCGAGACCAUCCUGGCCAACAUGGUGAAACCCUGUCUCUACUCAAAAUAUAAAAAUUAGCUGGGCAUGGUGGUGGGCGCCUGUAGUGCCAGCUACUCGGGAGGCUGAGGCAGGAGAAUCUCUUGAACCCGGGAGGUGGAGGUUGCAUAUGUCAGAUUACCAUGUUGCAGUGAGCCAAGAUCGCACCAUUGCAUUCCAGCCUGGCAACAGAGUGAGACCCUCUCUCAAAAAAAAAAAAAAAAAGGGAAAAUGUGGACACAGACGCACAUGUGGACACAGACACCACCAUGUGAAGAUUAAGUCAGAGGUCGAGGCAAUGCUUCUUUAAGCCUAGGAACGCCAAAGACUCCCAGGAAACCACCAGAAGCCAGGGAAGGAGCAUGGAAGAGAUUCUCUCACAGCCUCAAAAGGAACCAACUCUAACACCAUACAUGAUCUUGGACUUCUGACCUUGAGAACCGUGAGACAAUAAAUCCCUAUUGUUUAAGUCGUGCACUUUGAAUUACUUUGUUAUGGCAGCCCUAGCAAACUCAUACAAGGACCCAGGCUUCUCUUCCCCCAAUUGUCACCUCUUAGCAGACUCCUGACCUGGCAGCAGCUGGGACAGAGCUGCUCUGGGAUGUUCUGGGCCUCAAAGCUGAGCCUGAGACUUGAGCUGAAUCCCUGGCAGGGGCUCAGGGAGCUGUUGACCAAGGGUCCGGCUGGCUGGGGGUGACUGUGAAGGAGCCAUGGCUGCUGUUCCCAUCCCUCCAGAAUCUCCUCCCCAAGCUGCCAGUGCAGGGAGGAGCCACUGCAGUGUGGACUCUAAGCCUCCCAGAGGUAGGAGGGUCCCAGCA
rnacentral:lncRNA from 1 species